rnacentral:rRNA from 1 species
GACGAACGCUGGCGGCGUGCUUAACACAUGCAAGUCGAACGGAAAGGCCCUGCUUUUGUGGGGUGCUCGAGUGGCGAACGGGUGAGUAACACGUGAGUAACCUGCCCUUGACUUUGGGAUAACUUCAGGAAACUGGGGCUAAUACCGGGUAGGAGCUCCUGCUGCAUGGUGGGGGUUGGAAAGUUUCGGCGGUUGGGGAUGGACUCGCGGCUUAUCAGCUUGUUGGUGGGGUAGUGGCUUACCAAGGCUUUGACGGGUAGCCGGCCUGAGAGGGUGACCGGCCACAUUGGGACUGAGAUACGGCCCAGACUCCUACGGGAGGCAGCAGUGGGGAAUAUUGCACAAUGGGCGGAAGCCUGAUGCAGCAACGCCGCGUGCGGGAUGACGGCCUCCGGGUUGUAAACCGCUUUCGCCUGUGACGAAGCGUGAGUGACGGUAAUGGGUAAAGAAGCACCGGCUAACUACGUG